UACGUAGGGGGCAAGCGUUAUCCGGAUUUACUGGGUGUAAAGGGAGUGUAGGUGGCAUAACAAGUCAGAAGUGAAAGCCCGGGGCUCAACCCCGGGACUGCUUUUGAAACUGUGCAGCUGGAGUGCAGGAGAGGUAGGCGGAAUUCCCGGUGUAGCGGUGAAAUGCGUAGAGAUCGGGAGGAACACCAGUGGCGAAGGCGGAUUGCUGGACAGUAACUGACGCUGAGGCGCGAAAGCGUGGGGAGCAA
rnacentral:rRNA from 1 species